UCAACUGCAGCCAGGGGAAGGUAAGAACAUUUCUAAGGGUUCUAUAGAGCUUUAUGACACCUCCAAGUUCCCUGGGGAAUUCAUUCUAACCAGGGUUCAGAGCCUACAAAAUAGAACCCCCCGAAAAGCUUCACAGACCCCUUCACAGACCAACUGCCAUUCACCUUCUUCCUCUUUCCCCCCAUUUCCUCCCAUUUGGAAGCACCAAAUAGAAAAGUGGAGGGGAGUGAAUGAAGAAUGAGAAUCCAUGGGGAGGAUGACAUCCACACGGCAAUAGGGAGCUGUGACAGAGCAAGAAAGGUCAAGGGGCACUGGAUGUUUCUCUGCUGAGGGGGGACACUAGGAGCAGGCACCUCACCCUGACUGACACCUCCUGCCUAUUAUUUCCCUGUUAUGUUCUUGCCAUACACAGAGAAACUAGAUAAAAACAGACUGAUACCGGGGAGACAAACACACUGCACUCUCUUCUGGGGAAUCUGCUGUAUCGCAAGCACAGCCGGCUGCACUUUAGUGGCAAUAAAACAAAGAAAAUCAUAGCAAGACUACAGCUUCUGCCUAGUUAAGGCUGUGAUAAGAUAAAAUAUUUUAGGGUCCACACACAGGAGGACCUCAAUCCAAAGGAGGAGCCUGGGGUCCUAUGCCUAAUCGAGAAGGCUACCCCAUUGUUGAACUCUUUGCAUAUACCCUGAAAGCAUGGACUUGAAUGUGGGACCUGGCUGUAGGGCUGAGUCACUGAAGGGACAGAGCAUUGCAGGGAAAGGGGAGCACCUGGAAAGAAAAGAGCCUGAUGUACCCUUGACCAUGAGAUGGUACUUCGGUGAGUGUUCCCCUUCACAAUCCUCCACGUCUAAAGAGUACAUUUAAAUAAU